ensembl:lncRNA NAPA-AS1 NAPA antisense RNA 1
AUGGCGGCCAGGUCGCCUGCUCGGGCCUCCCAGGCGACUUUGCCCCACUGCGCCCGCGCUCUCUUCUCCUUUCCAUUUCUGGACCAAGGGGCUGCCAUAAGGAGUCUGUGACUAGAGAUGGGAGGUGGUGGCCACGGCCUCUCGCUGUAUGCUGUGUGGAAGGUCGAAUCAUCAUCAUCAUAAAACUUAAUAUUGCCCUUAUGUGCCAGGAACUACUAUCUCAGCAAUGGAGAUGUGGUGCUUGGCCGCAAUCGUGAAUCGGCCCUGGAGGGGACACAGGAAGGGGCUGCCUGCGACUCAUGACCUCCUGCGUGCCUGCCUGCUGACCUAUGACCCUUCAAGUUCCCACCCCUCAGCCACGCCUGUGAGGAGGGUCUUGUUUUGUCGCCUACGCUGGAGUGCAGUGGUGUGAUCACAGCUCACUGCAGCCUCAACUUCCUGGACUCAAGCGAUUUUCCUGCCUCAACCUCCCAAGAACUAGGACCCCAGAUCCCCAUGGACAAGGCACUUGCAUGAAUUGUGAGGCUCAUGGAGUUGGGGUCGGACAACACAGAGCCGGCUCCCUCCAGGAGCUGCAUGUCCAGAGAGGGAAACAGGAUGUGGACAGCAAGAAUGAAUACAUGCAGACCAGUGCCCAUGGGCGGAGGGCAGAAGAGACCGUGCCUGAAGCCUCAUCCAUCCUGUGCUCAUCUGCACACGGUCAGCUUCUGUGGGUCCCAAGCCAUUCUGCCCACACAUCUCCUAACUGACGUUUGGGAGGCAGCAGCAUCUCUCCUCCUCCUCGUGCAGCUGACCACCUCCAGCUCAGCUCUGAGGCUUCUCCCCUUCAUUCUCCUCCAGCUGAAUCUGAGUCAGAGUUUCUAAGCUGGAAGAGGACCAGGAGGCCUGGCCCUAUCCUCUUAAGUUUUGAGCAGCAGAAAAGACAAAGCCUUCCGGGUUUUCACUAUAUGAUUUCAUUAUUUUCAAGAGUUCCAAAUUUGAGUAUAAAAUUACGGCCAGGCGCGGUGGCUCAUGCCUGUAAUCCCAGCACUUUGGGAGGCCGAGGUGGGCGGAUCACGAGAUCAGGAGAUGGAGACCAUCCUGGACAACAUGGUAAAACUCUGUCUCUACUAAAAAUACAAAAAUAAGCUGGGCGUAGUGGCACGUGCCUGUAAUCCCAGCUAGUCAAGAGGCUGAGGCAGGAGAAUCACUUGAACCAGGGAGGCGGAGGUUGCAGUGAGCCAAGAUCGCGCCACUGCACUCCAGCCUGGCAACAGAGCAAGACUGUCUCAAAAAAAAAAAAAAAAAAAAAAAAAAAAAAAUUUCAAGAAAAGGGGAUAUUACCGGGGGGAAAUGGCCUAGGGCUUUUCUUUGAAGAGUUUGGGGGCAGAGGUAACAAAUUUUAGGGGAAAAGCAACACCUAUGUAAUUAAAAAAUAAGCUUUUUUUCUCUA